UACGUAGGGUGCAAGCGUUAAUCGGAAUUACUGGGCGUAAAGGGUGCGCAGGCGGAAGAUUAAGUUAGAAGUGAAAUCCCCGGGCUCAACCUGGGAACGGCUUUUAAGACUGGUCAUCUAGAGUUUGUCAGAGGGGGGUGGAAUUCCAAGUGUAGCAGUGAAAUGCGUAGAGAUUUGGAGGAACACCGAUGGCGAAGGCAGCCCCCUGGGAUAAAACUGACGCUCAGGCACGAAAGCGUGGGUAGCAAACAGG
rnacentral:rRNA from 1 species